AGCGAACGCUGGCGGCAGGCCUAACACAUGCAAGUCGAGCGCCGUAGCAAUACGGAGCGGCAGACGGGUGAGUAACGCGUGGGAACAUACCCUUCGGUUCGGAAUAACUCAGGGAAACUUGAGCUAAUACCGAAUACGUCCGUGAGGAGAAAGAUUUAUCGCCGAAGGAUUGGCCCGCGUAAAGAUUAGCUAGUUGGUGAGGUAACGGCUCACCAAGGCUAUGAUCUUUAGCUGUCUGAGAGGAAGAUCAGCCACACUGGGACUGAGACACGGCCCAGACUCCUACGGAGGCAGCAGUGGGGAAUAUUGGACAAUGGGCGCAAGCCUGAUCCAGCCAUGCCGCGUGAGUGAUGAAGGCCUUAGGGUUGUAAAGCUCUUUUACCAGGGAAGAUAAUGACUGUACCUGGAGAAUAAGCCCCGCUAACUUCGUGCCAGCCGCCGCGGUAAC
rnacentral:rRNA from 1 species